GGUUAAGUUAGAAAGGGCGCACGGUGAAUGCCUUGGCACUAGGAGCCGAUGAAGGACGGGACUAACACCGAUAUGCUUCGGGGAGCUGUAAGUAAGCUUUGAUCCGGAGAUUUCCGAAUGGGGAAACCCCCUAUCCGUAAUGGGAUAGGAUCUUUACCUGAAUACAUAGG
rnacentral:rRNA from 1 species